UACAGAGGUGGCAAGCAUUGUUCGGAAUUACUGGGCGUAAAGGGCGCGUAGGCGGCUUGGUCAGUCCCGUGUGAAAUCCCUCGGCUCAACUGAGGAACUGCACGGGAAACUGCCUGGCUUGAGUUCGGGAGAGGGAAGCGGAAUUCCGGGUGUAGCGGUGAAAUGCGUAGAUAUCCGGAGGAACACCGGUGGCGAAGGCGGCUUCCUGGACCGACACUGACGCUGAGGCGCGAAAGCUAGGGGAGCAAACGGG
rnacentral:rRNA from 1 species